GGACAGGCGGCGGAGUGCGGAGGCACCGCUAGGCGGAGGAGGGAGGCAAGCGGCGAGGCGAGGGAGGCACCAGUGCUCGGCCGGAACCUUGUUGCCAGGGGAGACGGGCGCUUUACGGCAGGACGUUUGAACGGCGGCGGGGGAAAAGUUGCGGCCGCAGGUCUAAUCAAGAAACAAACAGCUGAUUGAGAGUGAUGCCGUUCCCACAGUAUGGGAAAUCUGUCACUCUUGGGGUUUCCUUAGUCAUACUUCCUGCUUUCACGAAGAGGAGAAGAGGUAUAAAAUUUUAUGCCCUAAAAAAUAAAAAGGGAAGAGAUCCCUUUUUCACAGAUAAUUCAUAAACAACCUCGUUUGGGCUUAAUAAACAUGUUUAAUGUAUUGAAUGCUAAAGCAUUACCAUCAAACACUUGUACUAUUUAUUUACUCUCACUUUUCA